CUUACGUUAGUUCAUUUAUCAGAUUCAAACAACAGACAGUCAGAAAGGCUUAAUAUCAGGGAAGAAGAAAGACAGAGGAGAGGGAAAGAGAUUGCUGAUUAAGGCUACUAAGAGGAUUUUCGGAUUUGCUACUUGAAAGUAAAAUUUACGAGAUCAUGUUGUGAUUUGGUCAACCACGCGGGAACUUUGGGGGGUGAUGUUUAAUUUAGUAGCACUUAAAUUAUCUAUGAUUUAUUUAAAUAUUAUGAACAUCGUACUAUCUUAAUUAGUAUUCAGACUUUUAUCUUGA